rnacentral:rRNA from 1 species
UACGUAGGGUGCAAGCGUUAAUCGGAAUUACUGGGCGUAAAGCGUGCGCAGGCGGUUGUGCAAGACAGAUGUGAAAUCCCCGGGCUCAACCUGGGAAUUGCAUUUGUGACUGCACGGCUAGAGUGUGUCAGAGGGGGGUAGAAUUCCACGUGUAGCAGUGAAAUGCGUAGAGAUGUGGAGGAAUACCGAUGGCGAAGGCAGCCCCCUGGGAUAACACUG